AUGAGAUUCACUUUGCCGAAUGGUGUAACGUCAUCUAUGGAGAUUUUCGAGCAUGUCACAGAAGUUGACAGUCACCCUAAUAUCUCAACUGUUUAUCGCACCUUAUUUAUUGUGCUUGUGAUGGCUGACAGAAGCUUUUCAAAGACGAAAUUACCGAGGAACUAUCUGAGGUCAACAAUGACUCAAGUGAGGUUAAAUUGUUUAGCAACAUUAUGCAUCGAGAAGAAAUUAUUGGAUUAUAUAGACGUCGACCUCAGUGACUUUGCAUCGAGGAAUGUUAGAAGAAAAUUUUAA
rnacentral:rRNA from 1 species